AUGGCUGACGGAGGGCACUGGCAGGAAUGCUGGCACACACUCCAUCCCGGGUGGCUUUGGCUCCCAGAUGGUGUUUCAGCACAGCUCCAUCCCCCACCGCCACCCUGCAGGGCCUUGGGGCGCCACUUACCUGCUGCAGCCUGCCCCUGGUGCCUGCUGAGGCGCUGGGUCCCGCAGAGCCCUUCACUGCCAUCCCCCAGCAGCCUCCACGCUCCGUGGCCCCAUCCCAGGACCGUGGUCCCACUCUGCUCCCUGCUCCCACUCGCAUGCUCCCUGGCCUUGCCCAGUGUCUCGGUCCAGCCCUGCCAGGGCUCCAACAAGCUCCUGGGGGCCCUGCCCUGGGCCCUGCAAGGAGCCCCAGCUGCUCGCACUGAGACACGGCCAGUGCUGAGGACUUUAUUGCAUUGCAAGGACUGUGGUGACCCAAGCCCCCGUGGCCAGGGGAAGCCCACACACACGCUGGUCUGGCCAGCAGAGCCACAGCCAGGCUGCAGCUGCCCGUGCCGGUGUCGGCUCUCGGGUGCUGUGUGUGGGCCUCGGAGGCCGCCGGCGCUGCCCGGGGCAGCAGCAGCCACCGGCUCCCCGCACGCCAUCACCGCGGGCCGGCGAGGUACAGCCAGGAGGCCGGGUGGGUACAGGAGUGCUCAGGUACACCCGGCCGUGCCGUGCCGUGCGGCAGGGAAAGCCUUGCUGUCACCAGUGGAGAUAAAGCACCGUAUGGGGAUGGGGAGGGAAGGCGUUUGGCAACAGCCCGCGGCCGGCUCGGGGAGGGGUCUUGGCGGGGGGAGUCCUCCUGUGCCCGCCCGGGGGUUUUGCAUGUUCAGCUGCUCCCACUUACCAGGGCUUACAUUCAACGGCGGCGCGAGUCGGGUGUCCCACGGCCGGCAGCAGCGAGGCCCCUGCGGUCCCCGUGCUGAGGGGAGCGAGCAGCAGCCUGCGGCCCCAGCCACGCACCAGGAAACACCAUGUCCUGGGCUGGACUCUCGGGGCAGGGGGAGAGGGGGCUCGAGUCACUUUACCCUGUUUAGAGAAUAUGAAUUUACAUGUAAAAGUAGGGGUUGGGCCCCAUCUCGGCCACCGGGUCCCCUGGCUGUGGAGACAGGAUCACGGAGCUGUACAAAAUGGGAGUGGGGAGGGGUCCGGGACCCGGAGCAGCCGGCACGGGGCGUCACUGGGUGCGCGUUCGGGUGGGAGGCAGCAGGUCAGGAGUCCUGGGGAUGUAGAAAUCUGUUAAAAACUCCAAGACUGUUUUUUCCUUGA
rnacentral:lncRNA from 1 species